AACGAACGCUGGCGGCGUGCUUAACACAUGCAAGUCGAACGAGAAAGCUUCCUUCGGGAAGUGAGUAGAGUGGCGCACGGGUGAGUAACACGUGGAUAAUCUGCCCAAUGAACUGGGAUAACACUUCGAAAGGGGUGCUAAUACCAGAUAAGCCCACAGGCUUUUCGGAGCUUGCGGGAAAAGGUGGGGACCUUCGGGCCUACCGUCAUUGGAUGAGUCCGCGGCCCAUUAGCUAGUUGGUAGGGUAAUGGCCUACCAAGGCAACGAUGGGUAGCUGGUCUGAGAGGAUGAUCAGCCACACUGGAACUGAGACACGGUCCAGACUCCUACGGGAGGCAGCAGUGGGGAAUUUUGCGCAAUGGGGGAAACCCUGACGCAGCAACGCCGCGUGAGUGAUGAAGGCUUUCGGGUCGUAAAGCUCUGUCAGUGGGGAAGAAACUCGCAUGUUCGAAUAGGUCAUGCGACUGACGGUACCCACAAAGGAAGCACCGGCUAACUCCGUG
rnacentral:rRNA from 1 species